rnacentral:lncRNA from 1 species
AGGGUUCAAAAAAUUCAGGGAAAUGGCCCAAAGAAUUAAUAACAGACUAGGAUACAGAUCUUUUCUUGUGUAUUAGCCCAAAUCACUCUCAACUAGCAGUGACCAACAGUUAGUCCCCGAUGAGCACUUGCCAGCCUAUAACGGCCACAAACACGUAACAAAAUUAGCCUUAACUGGCAUCCUUUCUGAAAGCCUCAACAACCAGACAACCAACCAGGGAGAGCGAAGCGCUGCUGCCCGACCCUCCUCACUCUGUUUGCCCACAGGACCCGUCACCCCGAUGACUUGGGCGAGAAGUCCCAACUCCCUGGGAUGAAGGAUGGCCAGAAACACCAGAAGAACGGGAUGUCCAAAAACCACCACCGGGGAGCGGGGGUGUCCGCUGUGCACGGCAACGCGUGCAAAGGGGAGCGGAGAGCGCGGCAGGUGAGGCAGGCAUCGGAGGAGAUCCCCGCUGGCCUCCCUGGGAGCAUCCCAGUCGCAAAGCCCUUGGAGAGGCUCUUCCAGCCCCUCCGCCGGGGAAGGUGGAGGUACAGGAGCAAGGUGGGAGGCUGGGGUGCGGGGAGAACCCCGCAGCUGACCCCGCGGCGUCACGGGACGUGCCGGCCAAGACGCGCGACCAGCCCCACCUGCGCUCUCGCCCAGCACCAGCACGGGUGGUUUGGGGGCAGCAGCCCGGAGCACAGGGGCCACAGCCUGGUGUGAGCACCCGUGGUGGCCCCGCUGCCUCCGCCUGGGGCUUCAGGAGACGUUCCCCAACCUCCGCUUCAGCCACAGGCCACGCUCGCAGACGGGCAACGUGCGGCGGCAGGCGGGAAGACACGCAGGCCUUCACCGGCCGGCAGCGCCCUCGGGGGACAGCAGCACCCCCCGGGGGGGAGGGGCUGCCUGCGGGGGAACCGCCACGGCCGAGCCCCCUCACAGGCGACACCCCUCAUCUCGGGGUCUCCUCAGGAGCGAGCGCCCCUCGCGGGGGGCAGCUCCCGCGCAGGGUCUCCUCAGGAGCGAGGUCUCCCCUCAGGAGCCGGGUCUCCUCAGGAGCGGGGGUCUCCCCUCAGGAGCCGGGGUCUCCUCAGGAGCGAGGUCUCCCCUCAGGAGCCGGGGUCUCCUCGGGAGCGGGGGGUCUCCCCUCAGGAGGAGGUGUCUCCCCUCAGGAGCCGGGGUCUCCCGGGGCAGCCCCGCGGCCGGGUCCCCCUCAGGCGCGGGAGGCCCCUGCACCGGGCGUCGCGGGCCGGUCCCGG